rnacentral:rRNA from 1 species
CUGCAUGCAAUUGAAAUACAACUUUCAACAGUGGAUGUCUAGGCUCGCACACCGAUGAAGAACGCUGCGAACUGCGAUACGUAAUGCGAAUUGCAGAAUUCAGUGAGUCAUCAAAAUUUUGAACGCAUAUUGCACUUCCGG